AGUGAACGCUGGCGGUAGGCCUAACACAUGCAAGUCGAACGGCAGCACAGUAAGAGCUUGCUCUUACGGGUGGCGAGUGGCGGACGGGUGAGGAAUACAUCGGAAUCUACUUUUUCGUGGGGGAUAACGUAGGGAAACUUACGCUAAUACCGCAUACGACCUACGGGUGAAAGCAGGGGAUCUUCGGACCUUGCGCGAUUGCAUGAGCCGAUGUCGGAUUAGCUAGUUGGCGGGGUAAAGGCCCACCAAGGCGACGAUCCGUAGCUGGUCUGAGAGGAUGAUCAGCCACACUGGAACUGAGACACGGUCCAGACUCCUACGGGAGGCAGCAGUGGGGAAUAUUGGACAAUGGGCGCAGGCCUGAUCCAGCCAUACCGCGUGGGUGAAGAAGGCCUUCGGGUUGUAAAGCCCUUUUGUUGGGAAAGAAAAGCAGCAGGUUAAUACCCCGCUGUUCUGACGGUACCCAAAGAAUAAGCACCGGCUAACUUCGUG
rnacentral:rRNA from 1 species